AAUUCUCGACAGGCUCUGGAAGAAAAAAAUUUUAAAUGUCAACGUCGCUGGUAUGAUGAGUCAUGAUAUUGUACAAGAAUUUCAAACCGACGAUGUCGUGAUUAUCUGUUGUGCAGGAAUUAUGAUUAGUACCACGAUAAAACGACGUUUUUCAAAGAUGAUCUUAACAGGGAAACAAAGAAAUGCUUGGCCGACACAACUUUACCAUAACACAGUUCAGAAGAACGACUUUUCUUGUAUUUUAUCAAUAUCUUUUUUGCUCCUGAGAAAUUCAUAAGCCAUUUUACAGUGACCCACCUGCCAAAUUGCCAGUAGCAGCGCUAAGACCAAUGAAAUAUGAAGUCGGAAGUCGUAUACCAGAGACCUGAAGACAUGCUUUCCAUUCACCAUCACUAUCAAUGUCUGUCAUAACUGUUAAAGUUUCUUUGCUACCCAAGUACUGAAUCAAAGCAUAUGUUUCCGCUCCAUUAUUGCGAAAAGAAGCCUAAGAAAAUAUCUGAACUGUCAAAAUUGGACCAUGAAGAUAUUCAAUGAGCGCUUGAAAUCAUGAAAACAGUUAUACAAGAGGUAAAAUACAAACCGAGCAGCCCUGUAUUUGUGAAUAAGCACCAUCACGAUUAUGGUCGUAGUUUAAGGUACCAUUGUUUACCAUAGCUGAUAUAUAAGGGUGGUCUGCCUAUAUCAAGAAGAAAAAUCAUUGCUGAAAUGUGGUUUGCUUUGAAGAAAACUUCAAUGGAUAUCAAUCUUACAGCGUUAUCACCAUUUGCAUUACUAUAAGUGUCAAAGAAAACAGCAAGUCCUGAGAAGAAAUUUUUGCUUCCAAAGACUGGACCUAAACAAUACAAAUAACAUUUGUGCAUAAAUUUAUCAUAUGAACUUUCCACAUCCAUAGAUUUAAUGAAAUUUACUAAAUAAACUCAAUUUAUUACCGAAUUCCAUUUUCUCUUUAGCAUAAUGGAACGCAAAGCCAUCUCCAUAAAGUGAAUCUCCAGAACCAUGAACUGAAAAAUGGAUAUGGAUUUCCCAAUCGCGAGCUGUUACAGGCUGUAUGGUAAAAGAAGUUUUCAUGUUAAUUCACUACUCGGACAUAAAACAAAUCUUAUUUUAUUACCACUGACCAAUGUGUUCCAAAUAAACCCUUUUUGACUUUGAUGAUCCUCGGUCAAUCGGAUAUGAUUACUGGUUAUCAAUGUGUCACCACCAAAAUCCCAAAAUUGCAGGCUAGUGCUACCAACUAAAUAAAAACUGCUGUAAGCUCUAAGGACUAUGACAAAAACGCCACAACUUACAUGUUGGAAAACUUUGAAAUACUACUAUUGAUUAAUUCUGAACAUGCUGAGUUAGCAAAUCAAUUGUAGAUUUUCAUCAAUGUCAAUUUAUUUCUACAUAAAUUAAAAAAAUAACCAGCA